CAACUGAACAAAACCGGAAACAACAUAUCACCGCUUUCUUCUUCUUUUCGAUUUUAAACCCCUACAUACAUAAAUCCCAAACUAUAUUUUAUAUCCCUGAUAGAGUCUUUCUUUCUUUCUUUUCUUUAUCGGUUUCCUUAACUAUUAUUUAUUUGUUUCUGUCUGACGCUUUCAAUUUCGCUCCACAUUCUUACCAAUUUCACCUUGUUGUGGUUAACACCAAUGGCUGGCAGAAAUCGUAUUCCUCGUGAAGCUUACAAUGACCGACAUGGGUUCCCCCCUGAAAGAGCUUUCAUUCGUGGCCCUCCUUUGCCACAGCCUCGUCCUCAUCCUGCAUUAUUGGAGGAAGAACUUGAAAUGCAGCAUGCCGAAAUCCAGAGACUCUUGAGUGAUAACCAUUGGCUGGUUGAAGAUCGAAUGGGUAUGCAGCAAGAGCUUGCUGCCGCUAAGGAGGAGCUUCAUCGAAUGAAUAUGGUCAUUGCUGAAAUUCGUACAGAACAAGAAAUGCACUUGAGGGAACUUGUUGAGAAAGGAUUGAAGCUAGAGGCAGAUCUUCGUGCAACUGAGCCUUUGAAAAAGGAGGCUGUACAACUCCGAUAUGAAAUUCAGAAGAUGAAUAAUAUAAGGAAUGAACUCAGCGGACAAGUUCAGAACCUCCAGAAAGAUCUUGCAAAAUUGCAAGCUGAUAAUCAACAGAUUCCUCGUUUAAGGGCAGAAGUUGAUGGCCUGCACCAGGAGCUUAUGCAUGCUAGAGCUGCUGCUGAUUAUGAAAAGAAGGCAAACAUUGAGCUGGUAGAGCAGAGACAGGCAAUGGAGAAGAAUUUGGUUUCCCUGGCUCGUGAAGUUGAAAAGCUACGUGCUGAACUUGCUAGUGUUGACAGUAGACCAUGGGGCGCUGGUGGACAAUAUGGGAUGAAUUUCAGCAGUUCAGAGGGGUUUUUUCGCAGUCCUUACAGAGAUGGAUAUGGGGUUCAUCGGGGUGUUACUGACAAGGGGCCUAUGUAUGGCCCAGGUCCUGCUUCAUGGGAGAAACCUUGACUGAGUCAUCAUUAGGGCCUGUUUGCUUGUUGCUGGAAUUGAAGAAAUGGAAAGUUUGUCCUUUUUGGCUGCCCCACAACAGAGUCCCAAUUAUAAAGCGGAAAGAAAUGGGACAGAAAUUAAGAAUAUCAGGUACCUACUACUUUGCUAGAGGGAGGUAAUGAAGAUGCUACUUUCAGUCCAACUUUGGUCUAUGGUAGUGUCAUGGUUGCAUUCAGAAACCAUCAAGAUUUAAACAGUUCACUCGUAACAGAAAUAUCUGCGCUGAGUCGCUGACCGCAAAAUGGAUAAGAGUUAACCUUUGUUUUCAGUGUAUGGACUCUGUUUAGUAUCCAGGAUCUCAUCUGCUUAUGUGUGCUAGAACAAGCACCAAGAAUGGUUGCAUGUAAGUAGCACUGAAACAAAGAGGAGCUGUUUGCAUGGAGGAAGUGAGGAAAAUUGCUAUACAAAGCUAGACAAAAUAUUCUUUUGCUAUGAAAGCAGAUGUCAUAUUUAAUAUUUACAAAAAUAAAAUUCUUACACAUAAUAAUGAUGGAUAAUCAGAGAUUUUAGAUUCAUUUUAUCA